GGUUUGUGGCUCAGUGGUAAAGCACUUGCCUAGCACGUGCGAGGUGCUGAGUGCGAUCCUCAGAAUCA
rnacentral:tRNA from 1 species